ACUCCUACGGGAGGCAGCAGUGGGGAAUAUUGGACAAUGGGGGAAACCCUGAUCCAGCAAUGCCGCGUGUGUGAAGAAGGCCUUCGGGUUGUAAAGCACUUUCGGUGGGGAAGAAAUUCUCAAGGGUAAUAUCCUUGGGCGUUGACGUUACCCACAGAAGAAGCACUGGCUAACUCUGUGCCAGCAGCCGCGGUAAUACAGAGAGUGCAAGCGUUAAUCGGAAUCACUGGGCGUAAAGCGCGCGUAGGUGGAUAUUUAAGUCGGAUGUGAAAGCCCUGGGCUUAACCUGGGAAUUGCACCCGAUACUGGGUAUCUUGAGUAUGGUAGAGGGAAGUGGAAUUUCCGGUGUAGCGGUGAAAUGCGUAGAUAUCGGAAAGAACACCAGUGGCGAAGGCGACUUCCUGGACCAAUACUGACACUGAGGCGCGAAAGCGUGGGGAGCAAACAGGAUUAGAGACCCUGGUAGUCCACGCCGUCAACGAUGAGAACUAGCUGUUGGGAAGUUCACUUCUUAGUAGCGAAGCUAACGCGUUAAGUUCUCCGCCUGGGGAGUACGGCCGCAAGGUUAAAACUCAAAGAAAUUGACGGGGGCCCGCAC
rnacentral:rRNA from 1 species